UAUCUUUUUAAGCUUUGUACAUAUUUUCUAUAUUAUAUGUAUUUUUGUUUCCUUCACGUUUUUGCUCAAGUGUUGGUUAGGGGUAGCCGUCGGUGAACAACUAGCCAAAUAAAGAAACACUGAGAAGGGGCGUCCAUUUCAAAUUGUCUUAGCUAUUCUCUCCCUCUAACACAUGCCUCGUCGAUGUCUUGGCUCCGCCAUGUUGGAGGCAUGAGAGCGGUCCAAAAUAGCCAAUCACCACCAACAAUGUGUUCGUUUUGAUGUCUUCUUUCUCAUAUACGCUCCAAUUCAUCCUCAAACUCAGUAAAACUUCCAAACCGAAUAAAAAACUUCAAGAACCCUAAACAAUUCUAAUGAAAUUAAAUGGGGAUGGUAGCUUGGAUGGAACCCAAACCUUAGGGGUUUGGUUCCUCUAUUGCAAAGCUACAUCGUGGCAACCAAAAUUAAGCAGGAGGAAGAGGAAAUGAGAGCCAACCUUCAAGGAGAAGGCUUCCCCGAUGUGUGCUGACACUGAAGAAGAUGAAGUUGAAGAAUCAAUAAUACCAUAGGAACUUCUAAGAGGAUGCUUUGGAUUGGGGUUGAGCUAGCUUGUUUGUAGUGGUGAAGUGAGCUAUUUGCAAUCCAUUUAGUAGGGCUAUCAAGUUGAACCUGAGCUGAGUUGGUGAAUGGUGCAAUUGGUCUAAACUACAACAGGUUUUUAUGAUAUGGAUGACACUUUUCAACCAACACAAAAAAAGCCAAAGAGAAAAAUGGAGAAAGUAUCUAAUUUACACCAUUUUCAAGUUGGAUUGUUUUAUGAAGUGAUUGAUCGAUAACUUCAAGAGUUGAACAAUCGUUUUACAUAAGUGAAUACUGAGUUUCUCCUUGGUGUAACUUGUUUAAGUUCAAGAGAUUCAUUUUUUGCAUUUGAUAAGGAGAGGUUGAUUCGUUUAGCUCAAUUUUAUCCUUCAGAGUUUUCUCAAGUUGAAUUAUUGACACUAGAUUGUCAGUUUGAAAACUAUUUCUUAGAUGUAUUCUGUGACAGUGAAUUUUCAGAAUUAGAGGGGAUUGGUGAUCUUUCUAUCAAACUCGAAGAGACCAAAAAACAUGUUGUGUACCCUUUGGUAUAUUUGCUUUUAAAGUUAUCUCUGAUAUUACCGGUGACAACUGCAACAGCUGAAAGAGUUUUCUCUGCUAUGAAUAUUAUCAAGAAUCGAAUGCGAAAUCGCAUGGGUGACGAUUGGUUAAAUGAUUGCUUAGUUACUUACAUUGAGAGAGAUAUUUUUGUUGAUGUUGAAAAUAAGAAAAUCAUUCAACGUUUUCAAAGCAUGAAAAAUCGUAGAGAACAAUUAUGAUUUAUAUUUAUAUUUUUGAAAAUGAAAUGUUAUAUUUAUAUUGACCCCACUACUCAAAAUUUCUGGCUCCGUCCCUGCCUACAAGUUAUGUUUGAUUAAUUUGGAUGUUUUGGUGUAUUUGUGCUAUUUGGGCAUUGUGGUUGUAUUGAAGGUUUAAUCUAAUUGAGGAUUAUGGACAAGGCCAUGGGUAAUUAGACUUUUUGAAAGAUCAAGUUUUAUGGAGGGUUUUAGGUUUAGGAGUCGACUUUGGUCAACUGGUUGACCAAAAAGUCAACAUUUGGUUAGAGUCAACUAUAAGCCAAAACUUGUAAUUUUUGUGUAGAGUUUGUAACUUGGAUUUUGAAUGAUGUAAUGAAUGACUUGAUGAUUUGUAAUGUUUGAAAGUUUGUAAUGAAAUGAUGUAACUUAUUUUUCAAGAAA